AAUCCAAAUUUGUGAAUUUACUUUUAACUAUUAUUAUUAUUAUUAGUAGUAGUAGUAGUAGUAGUAGUAGUAUUGGAAUGAAGACUUUCCAGCAGGCAUUUUUCCACGUUUUCACCAACCACUUUUCACUGCUUAAGGCUUCGAAGAGCCCUCUCCCAGUCAGGGGGAUGCAAUGAUCAAAGCAGUCUGUUCUUAUGAACAAAUCAAUCAAGAGUCACCCCAGCUUCCCAUCACACAGGGACCAAUAACUUUUUUCCUGUCCAUUCAUUCUUCUUUCACUUCCUUUUAUUUGUCUUUCUCUGCCUUUCCCCCAGUCCUAUUCCCUCAUCAAUUUCUUUCACUCUCUUUCUCCUCUUCUUCCUUCCUCUCCUCUUCUCCCCAUUCCCCUUCUCUGCUCCAAUUUCUGUCCUGUUCUUCUCCCACUUCCCAGCAAACAGGUGUCAGACAUCUGAGUCAAGCACAGAAAAGCAGCUCCUCAAAGUUAUAACAGGAUAUGGCAGAGUCUCCUUGAGAAAAACAAAGCAAAGAUGCUUUGCAAGUAAAUAUAUGCUGAAUGAAUGAAUUACCACAAGUUAUUCAUUCUCUGUUCAUUAAUUAAUGUUGCUUCAUUCAUCAGCUGCAUUGUCCAAUUUACUUUAGCAGACCGGCUGUCAUCAACUCCAGAGAGCUUAUGAAGGGUUGAGAUAAUUAGUCUCAAUACCCUUAAGGAGAAGUGGAGGUACAGUCUUGCUCUCUUGAAGAAUUGCACACUAAGAAACCACAAACCAGCAUCUAAGUGAGUUAUUGACUGAAUAUGAAAUGAUCAGAUUGAUGCAUACUUAAAUGUUGCAACUGCAUAGAUCUAGAAGGGAAUGUGUUUUCCAAAGUAGAUGGGAUGUUCCUUUUGCCAUGCUAAAGAUGUAGGUCUAAUCAGUCUUCUCUCUGAACUCUUAGCGAGAUGGAAAUUCUGCAGCAGGCUGCCUGCCGCCCGAUGUGCCCAGCAGAGCCGGCUUAAAAUGCAGGAAACACCUGUGGUAUAUUCUAAGAGGGCCCCUUCCCCUUAAAAUAAUCUCUUCCCCAUUAGCCUCUGGCAAUACUUGGCAUGCUGCCAUUCAUUUCUUGUGCCGAUAAUGGUUUUUUUCCUGGAAUAGGAGCGAUUGACAUGACAAGAACUGAGAUGGGGCAGUUCUGAUACAACUGACAAAGAAUUAGCAGUACAGAGCAUGAGACCCUGCAUAAAGACAAAUGGGAGAAGCCGAAGCGCAAGGUGUCA
rnacentral:lncRNA from 1 species